rnacentral:rRNA from 1 species
CACGAACGCUGGCGGCGGGCCUAACCCAUGCAGUCGAGCGCGCCUUCGGGUGAGCGGCGGACGGGUUAGUAACGCGUGGGAACGUGCCCAGCUCUGCGGAAUAGCCUCUGGAAACGGAGAGUAAUACCGCAUACGCCCUUUUGGGGAAAGAUUUAUCGGAGUUGGAUCGGCCCGCGUUAGAUUAGGUAGUUGGUGGGGUAAUGGCCUACCAAGCCUACGAUCUAUAGCUGGUUUUAGAGGAUGAUCAGCAACACUGGGACUGAGACACGGCCCAGACUCCUACGGGAGGCAGCAGUGGGGAAUCUUAGACAAUGGGGGAAACCCUGAUCUAGCCAUGCCGCGUGAGUGAGGAAGGCCCUAGGGUCGUAAAGCUCUUUCGCCAGUGAUGAUAAUGACAGUACCUGGUAAAGAAACCCCGGCUAACUCCGUGCCAGCAGCCGCGGUAAUACGGAGGGGGUUAGCGUUGUUCGGAAUUACUGGGCGUAAAGCGCACGUAGGCGGACUGCUAAGUCGGGGGUGAAAUCCCGGGACUCAAUCCCGGAACUGCCUUCGAUACUGGCAGUCUGGAAGUCGAGAGAGGUGAGUGGAAUUCCGAGUGUAGAGGUGAAAUUCGUAGAUAUUCGGAGGGAACACGGCGGCGAAGGCGGGUCACUGGCUCGAAUAUGGCACCUGAGGUGCCGAAGGGGUGGGAGCCAACCGGAUUUGAUACCCGGAUAUCACACCG